UGGCUCAGAGGUUAAAGCACCUGCCUAGAAUGCAGGAGACCUGGGUUUGAUCCCUG
rnacentral:tRNA from 1 species